GUCAGGAUGGCCGAGCGGUCUAAGGCGCCAGACUCAAGGUCUCAAUUCCUUCUCAUGAUGCAUGGUAGAGUGUUCUGGUCUCCGAUUGGAGGCGUGGGUUCGAAUCCCACUUCUGACA
rfam:Nematostella vectensis strain CH2 x CH6 NEMVEscaffold_29_Cont5122, whole genome shotgun sequence.